AGAUUGAACGCUGGCGGCAGGCCUAACACAUGCAAGUCGAGCGGUAGAGAGGUGCUUGCAUCUCUUGAGAGCGGCGGACGGGUGAGUAAUGCCUAGGAAUCCGCCUAGUGGUGGGGGAUAACGUUCGGAAACGGACGCUAAUACCGCAUACGUCCUACGGGAGAAAGCGGGGGACCUUCGGGCCUCGCGCCAUUAGAUGAGCCUAGGUCGGAUUAGCUAGUUGGUGAGGUAAUGGCUCACCAAGGCGACGAUCCGUAACUGGUCUGAGAGGAUGAUCAGUCACACUGGAACUGAGACACGGUCCAGACUCCUACGGGAGGCAGCAGUGGGGAAUAUUGGACAAUGGGCGAAAGCCUGAUCCAGCCAUGCCGCGUGUGUGAAGAAGGUCUUCGGAUUGUAAAGCAUUUAAGUGGAGGAAGGUUGUAACCUAAUGCGUUGCUAACUUGACGUUACGACAGAAUAAGCACCGGUCUAACGUUCGACG
rnacentral:rRNA from 1 species